rnacentral:lncRNA from 1 species
UCUUCUAAUCGGAUUAAAAUCUGGCCGAAUUUUGGCCGAUAUCGAAAAAAAGUUUGGCCGAUUUGGCCGUGAGAUGGCGUGUGUUUGGCCGUGAAGCCUGUUGACUAUCUGGCAACCCUGCUACCAAUUCCGAUAAAGUUUUCCUUAUUAACCAGUCAAAACUUUCGUUGAAAGUAAACAUUUAGGAGGAUGUCACUCCGCUGCAUCACACUCAGGAAUGCUAUGCAGUAAAGAUCACUGGUGAGAAUGGAAGGUGAUGUAGAUCAUGAGUGCACCAUUUGUUCACUGUGAAAUCAAAUCUUACCCGUCAUAUGAAGCUACAUGAUGAACACGAGAACUGAAGAAUGAUGUUUGUUGUCCCCACAUGAAGUGCCAAAAGCAGCUCCUGGAGUUUGUCUACCGAUUUCCUGCUGUGAAAAUUGAUCUUGAUAACCGCUUGAAAGUAAGACAUGAAUAAUGCCAAUAAGAACAACCCUUCAGUAAUUGAUAGUCAACACUAUUUCUCAGCAUCCGUGAAGCACAAAGAGAAACAAGAACCACUGACAGACCUGGACCCAGAUUACAUUGAAGAUGCUGAACUGUUGGCUGUUGCAGAUGUGCACUUCAGGCCCUACAACACUGUUCUGCUUGUCAUCUCAUAAAAACCUACAGGCACAGGUCACAGAUGCUGUUUCUUAACUAUGCAAGUUUUAAAGUAGUAGCAGUUGCGAUAUUGUCGUUAGUUGUGUAGUACAUUUUUGUUUUCCAUGGUAAUUUAACUUUGAAUGAAGCCCAUUGCCGUUAAUGCGUGUGUUGCUCAUUGGUAAUUAACAUAAUUAAAAGUUCACCCGUUAAUUUUUCACAUCAUCACCAUAAUUCUCAUCGAACAUCUCUUUACUUAAAAUGUGUAUAAAUUAUAUACUGGCACUGUAUUAUGGCCACCAUGGGUCCCCAAGGGCCUACUAGCUGCAAUUUCUAAUUUUAAAUUCCAAACUUGGAAUCAUAACAAUGACAUAACAAUUUUAAAAAAUAAAUAAAACAGUGAGUCAAUUUCCAGUUAAAUUGAAAUUAUUCUACAUAAAUGUUUUUUAAUGAAAUUAUAGUUUACUGCAGUUACUUCUAUAUUGUUGUUUCUGAUGCUGUAAGCAUUUUAAACUAAGUACAGAGACCACUGUAAUUUACAGUGAAGCCUUUCCUGAUAAGCUGCUUUUGCUACUAUUCUACUAUCACACACUAUGUGUGUAAGAUUUUUAAAGUACAGUAUAUCUAUCUAUGAUGUAUGAUAUCAAAAUGUCACUGCUGUAAAUUGUUAAUAAAGGACCUUACAAAUUGAUCCAAGGA